GUACUUGUACCGAUUGGAUGAGUUGCGAACGGGUGAGUAACGCGUAGGUAACCUGCCUGAUAGCGGGGGAUAACUAUUGGAAACGAUAGCUAAUACCGCAUAACAGUUGUGAUUGCAUGAUGACAACUUGAAAGGGGCAAAUGCUCCACUAUCAGAUGGACCUGCGUUGUAUUAGCUAGUUGGUGGGGUAACGGCUCACCAAGGCGACGAUACAUAGCCGACCUGAGAGGGUGAUCGGCCACACUGGGACUGAGACACGGCCCAGACUCCUACGGGAGGCAGCAGUAGGGAAUCUUCGGCAAUGGGGGCAACCCUGACCGAGCAACGCCGCGUGAGUGAAGAAGGUUUUCGGAUCGUAAAGCUCUGUUGUAAGAGAAGAACGUGUGUGGGAGUGGAAAGUCCACAUAAUGACGGUAUCUUACCAGAAAGGGACGGCUAACUACGUGCCAGCAGCCGCGGUAAUACGUAGGUCCCGAGCGUUAUCCGGAUUUAUUGGGCGUAAAGCGAGCGCAGGCGGUUAGAUAAGUCUGAAGUCAAAGGCUGUGGCUCAACCAUAGUUUGCUUUGGAAACUGUUUAACUUGAGUGCAAGAGGGGAGAGUGGAAUUCCAUGUGUAGCGGUGAAAUGCGUAGAUAUAUGGAGGAACACCUGUGGCGAAAGCGGCUCUCUGGCUUGUAACUGACGCUGAGGCUCGAAAGCGUGGGUAGCGAACAGGAUUAGAUACCCUGGUAGUCCACGCCGUAAACGAUGAGUGCUAGGUGUUAGGCCCUUUCCGGGGCUUAGUGCCUCAGCUAACGCAUUAAGCACUCCGCCUGGGGAGUACGACCGCAAGGUUGAAACUCAAAGGAAUUGACGGGGGCCCGCACAAGCGGUGGAGCAUGUGGUUUAAUUCGAAGCAACGCGAA
rnacentral:rRNA from 1 species